GAAACUGAUUUCUGUAAUCCUUGGCUUCAUCACAGCACAGUAAAGGAACACAGCAACUAAAAAGAUUAUUUUCUAACUCAAGAAUGCCCAGUUUUGUGAAAUUGUGUUACACAAACACGAAAAAUGAAAAUUUCAAACUGCAUUCUUUUCCACGGAAUAGAGAGAGAAUCAAAACCUGGCUUGAAAAAAAUACACAUUCCGAUCGAAGAAAUUGAAUCGUUGAUAGAAACUAUUUAUAAAUCUAAUUUUUGGACAUUCAAAGUUUGUUCAAAACAUUUUUCAGAAAAUGAUUAUGAACCAAGAGGCUCAAAAAAAAAAAACUUCUGAAGGACUGCUUAUCCUUCUCAGCUAUUAGAAAAUACAGGAAAAAGGUUUCAUGUUGAGUUCGAACACAACUAUUCCAAACGUCGAAAAAUAGAAGAAGCUAUCCCUUCACAAACUCCAAAAAAUGUAUUUGAUAUGAGCUCAGGGUCAAAUCAAACAUCAACAGAAUCAAGGGAUUGUGUAUCAAAAGUUAGUGACUGAACUGCUAAUGUGUCAAUCUGCGGACUCAAGUUCAAAUGCUUCAAAUGAUUGAUCUAUCAGCUAAUCAAGUUGAAAUAACAAUUAGCAGUACAAAUUCUUCACUUUCUAAAAAAAAACAAUCAAACACAGAUGUAAAAUCGUUCAUCGAGGCAUCCAAUGUCUCCUGAAAAAUAUAGUGAAACAAAAAAAUACACAGGUAUGCAUACCUUUGCCAACAGUGUUCCUUGGUUGAAUUACCUGAUUUGACUUGUUUACCAACAUAAGAGACUAGUAUGUUUGAAUAUUGAAAAAAAUAAUGAUGAUUUUCUGCAAUCAUCGUUUUUAGAAAAUGUGAACCUACAAACAAAUUUAGAAUCCGAGAAAUUCGAAAAACUUGAUGUGCCUAAAAUACAUCAUGAUCCAAAUUAUUUUGCUCUGGGAUUAUCACCUAUUAAAACGACAUUAAUGGAAAAUGUUACAUUGACUGAUAACGAAGAAAUUUCGUUCACUACACCACAAAAAAAAAAAAAA